CAAGUUACUGCCACCCAGCAACACAGCGUUUUCUUAAGUCAGGCAGCCAUCUCUGGCAAGAAAGCCACUGGAGAAAACGAAAUCGCCUGCUUGAGACAGAACCUACUUGGCGUGUUACUGAGAUUUUCAAGGAGACAUUUUACUGGGAUUUUACAAGAGGCAUGUAAGGAACUCCUACCACAUGAGCCCCAGAGAGAGACCCUGUCCAGCAAAGCACACAGGUAUGCCUGUACUAAGGAAUAGGGCAGACUGAUCCUGGUUAAACAAUCCCAUGACCGCUGUGCUGAGGUUCUGGGCUGCAACUCACAC